UACAGAGGUCUCAAGCGUUGUUCGGAUUCAUUGGGCGUAAAGGGUGCGUAGGCGGCUUGGUAAGUGUGGUGUGAAAAUCUCCCGGCUCAACUGGGAGGGUGCGCUACAAACUGCCGGGCUAGAGUGCGGGAGAGGAGAGUGGAAUUCCUGGUGUAGCGGUGAAAUGCGUAGAUAUCAGGAGGAACACCGGUGGUGUAAACGGCUCUCUGGACCGGUAACUGACGCUGAGGCACGAAAGCGUGGGUAGCAAACAGG
rnacentral:rRNA from 1 species